rnacentral:rRNA from 1 species
AGGGCACCACCGGGGGUGGAGCCUGCGGCUUAAUUUGACUCAACACAAGAAAACUCACCCGGGCCGGACACUGGAAGGAUUGACAGAUUGAUAGCUCUUUCUUGAUUGGGUGGGGGGGGGUGCAUGGUCGUUCUUAGUUGGUGGAGCGAUUUGGCUGGUUAAUUCCAAUAACGAACCAGACUCUAACCUACUAAAUAGAUGGUUGGCUUACAAACGCCAAUGAUACUUCUUGGAGGGGCAGGCGGUGAUUCAGCCGCACGAAACAAAGCACUAGCAGGUCUGGGAUGCCCUUAGAUGUCCGCGGACGCACGCUCGCUACACUGAAUUGAUCAGCGUGCAUUCUCAACCUACUCUGCCAAGAGUGAGAAACCCAAUGAACCUUCUUCGUGAUAGGGAUAAGAGAUUGUAAUUAUUCUCCUUGAACGAGGAAUUCCCAGUAAGCGCGAGUCAUACGCUCGCAUUGAUUACGUGCCUGCUCUUUGUACACACCGCCCGUCCCUACUACCGAUUGAAUGUUUA